rnacentral:lncRNA from 14 species
CCGUGAUCUGGAGCAGGAAUGCGGAGGGCGAGAGGCUUGGGAUGUAAACCCAGGGAGGAAGAAAUGGUACACAUCUGUGUUCAAACCCAAAUGAACAGUGACCUUCCUAUUAUGUCUUUAUACAUGGCAUCUAAACAUCAUUCAAAACAGUUAAACCAUGAAGCUGAUUACUGCAAGGAGAUUUUGACUGCUGCCCUCCACUGA